rnacentral:tRNA from 1 species
GUGCCCAUAGCCUAAUGGAUAAGGUGUUUGACUUUUAAUCAAAUAAUGGUGGGUUCGAGUCCCAUUGUGUGUG